rnacentral:rRNA from 1 species
GACGAACGCUGGCGGCGUGCUUAACACAUGCAAGUCGAACGAAGAGCGACGGAAGCUUGCUUCUAUCAAUCUUAGUGGCGAACGGGUGAGUAACGCGUAAUCAACCUGCCCUUCAGAGGGGGACAACAGUUGGAAACGACUGCUAAUACCGCAUACGAUCUAACCUCGGCAUCGAGGAUAGAUGAAAGGUGGCCUCUACAUGUAAGCUAUCACUGAAGGAGGGGAUUGCGUCUGAUUAGCUAGUUGGAGGGGUAACGGCCCACCAAGGCGAUGAUCAGUAGCCGGUCUGAGAGGAUGAACGGCCACAUUGGGACUGAGACACGGCCCAGACUCCUACGGGAGGCAGCAGUGGGGAAUCUUCCGCAAUGGACGAAAGUCUGACGGAGCAACGCCGCGUGAGUGAUGACGGCCUUCGGGUUGUAAAGCUCUGUUAAUCGGGACGAAAGGCCUUCUUGCGAAUAGUGAGAAGG